rnacentral:rRNA from 1 species
CCCCNGUUGCCNGCAUAUCCUUNGGGAUGAUGGGUACUCUGUGGGGACCGCCGCUGCUAAAGCGGAGGAAGGUGCGGGCUACGGUAGGUCAGUAUGCCCCGAAUCUCCAGGGCUACACGCGGGCUACAAUGGCCGGGACAAUGGGUCCCUACCCCGAAAGGGGUUGGUAAUCUCAUAAACCCGGCCUUAGUUCGAAUUGAGGGCUGUAACUCGCCCUCAUGAAGCUGGAAUCCGUAGUAAUCGCGUUUCAAUAUAGCGCGGUGAAUACGUCCCUGCUCCUUGCACACACCGCCCGUCAAACCACCCGAGUGAGGUAUGGGUGAGGGUAUGGACCAGUGCCGUAUUCGAACCUAAAUUUCGCAAGGGGGGUUAAGUCGUAACAA